UACAGAGGGUGCGAGCGUUAAUCGGAAUUACUGGGCGUAAAGCGUGCGUAGACGGUUAUUUAAGUCGGGUGUGAAAGCCCCGGGCUCAACCUGGGAAUUGCAUUCGAGACUGAAUAGCUAGGGUACGGUAGAGGGAAGCGGAAUUUCCGGUGUAGCGGUGAAAUGCGUAGAUAUCGAGAGGAACAUCAGUGGCGAAGGCGGCCUUCUGGUCCAGUACUGACACUCAAGUGCGAAAGCGUGGGGAGCAAACAGG
rnacentral:rRNA from 1 species